rnacentral:tRNA from 1 species
GCCCGCGGAGCUCGACUGGCCGAGCACCCGCCUUGUAUCCGGGAGGAUCCGGCUCGACUCCGGACGCGGGCU